rnacentral:rRNA from 1 species
UCAUGGCUCAGAACGUACGCUGGCGGCACGCCUAACACAUGCAAGUCGAACGAAGUAGCAAUACUUAGUGGCAGACGGGUGAGUAACAUGUAGGUAUCUUCCCUUUGGCCUGGAAUAACACGAGGAAACUUGUGCUAAUACUGGAUAAGUCUUUACGGAGAAAGCUUUAUGCACCAUUGGAUGAGCCUGCACUUGAUUAGUUUGUUGGUAGGGUAAUGGCCUACCAAGACUGUGAUCAAUAGCUGAUUUGAGAGGAUGAUCAGCCACAUUGGGACUGAGACACGGCCCAAACUCCUACGGGAGGCAGCAGUGGGGAAUCUUGCACAAUGGAGGAAACUCUGAUGCAGCGAUGCCGCGUGAGUGAAGAAGGCCUUUGGGUUGUAAAGCUCUUUCGUCGGGGAAGAAAAUGACUGUACCCGAAUAAGAAGGUCCGGCUAACUUCGUGCCAGCAGCCGCGGUAAUACGAAGGGACCUAGCGUAGUUCGGAAUUACUGGGCUUAAAGAGUUCGUAGGUGGUUGAAAAAGUUGGUGGUGAAAUCCCAGAGCUUAACUCUGGAACUGCCAUCAAAACUUUUCAGCUAGAGUUUGAUAGAGGAAAGCAGAAUUUCUAGUGUAGAGGUGAAAUUCGUAGAUAUUAGAAAGAAUACCAAUUGCGAAGGCAGCUUUCUGGAUCAUUACUGACACUGAGGAACGAAAGCAUGGGUAGCGAAGAGGAUUAGAUACCCUCGUAGUCCAUGCCGUAAACGAUGUGUGUUAGACGUUGGAAAUUUAUUUUCAGUGUCGCAGCGAAAGCGAUAAACACACCCGCCUGGGGAGUACGACCGCAAGGUUAAAACUCAAAUGAAUUGACGGGGACCCGCACAAGUAGUGGAGCAUGUGGUUUAAUUCGAAGAUACGCGCAGAACCUUACCAACACUUGACAUGUUCGUCGCGACUUUAAGAGAUUAAAGUUUUCGGUUCGGCCGGACGAAACACAGGUGCUGCAUGGCUGUCGUCAGCUCGUGUCGUGAGAUGUUGGGUUAAGUCCCGCAACGAGCGCAACCCUCACUUUUAGUUGCCAUCAUUUAGUUGGGCACUCUGAAAGAACUGCCAGUGAUAAGCUGGAGGAAGGUGGGGAUGACGUCAAGUCCUCAUGGCCCUUACGUGUUGGGCUACACACGUGCUACAAUGGUAUUUACAACAGGAAGCAAGACGGCGACGUUAAGCAAAUCCUUAAAAGAUACCUCAGUUCGGAUUGCACUCUGCAACUCGAGUGCAUGAAGCUGGAAUUACUAGUAAUCGUGGAUCAGCGUGCCACGGUGAAUGCGUUCCCGGGUCUUGUACACACCGCCCGUCACACCAUGGGAGUUGGUUCUACCUUAAGGCAAGGUUUAAAACCCUUGACCACGGUAUAGUCAGCGACUGGGGUGAAGUCAUAACAAGGUAGCCGUA